rnacentral:misc_RNA from 1 species
ACCUCAAGUUACUGGUUAAAAUAUUAUGGUGUUGCUGCUGGGAUACAGAUUUUAAGUCCCUCCACCAAGGAGAGAUGUGUGCACUGUUUCUACCAUAUAGUAAGGAGUGCCAUCCUCCGUAUUUGGACAAUAAGAUUCUUGCCCAAAGCUGAUGCUGAUUAUUCGCCAAGUUCCAGCCCCAUUUACCAAGCAAGGCUACAUUAAACUUGUUCAAAUCUUUAAUUCCUAACCCCCCUCUGCUCUUAGGGAGGCAGACUAUGUCCCAUUUGACC